rnacentral:tRNA from 1 species
GUUGUGGCUCAGUUUGGUAGAGCGCUGCGUUCGGGACGCAGAGGUCGCAGGUUCAAAUCCUGUCAAC